rnacentral:rRNA from 1 species
AUUGAACGCUGGCGGUAGGCCUAACACAUGCAAGUCGAGCGGCUGAAGAGUACUUGCUUCUUCUUUCAGCGGCCGACUGGUGGGUAAUUCCUAGGAACCUCCGUGUUUGCUUUUUCUUGCGUGCUGACAUGGGCGCUCUUACCCUAUUACUCCUGACGACCUACGGGUGGAAUCUUCGGAUCUCACGCUCUCACAUGAUCCUAUGUCGGAUUAGCUAGUUGGCGGGGUAAAGGCCUACCAAGGCGACGAUCCGUAACUGGUCUGAGAGGAUGAUCAGUCACACUGGAACUGAGACACGGUCCAGACUCCUACGGGAGGCAGCAGUGGGGAAUAUUGGACAAUGGGCGAAAGCCUGAUCCAGCCAUGCCGCGUGUGUGAAGAAGGUCUUCGGAUUGUAAAGCACUUUAAGUGGGGAGGAAGAGCAGUAAGUUAAUACCUUGCUGUUUUGACGUUACCAACAGAAUAAGCACCGGCUAACUUCGUG